GGUAUUUUAUUUUAUUGAUAUUUAUCCAAAUCAAAGCUGGAAUGGUUAAUUAUUAUGUAAUUCUCAUCAUUAUGAUCACAAUUUGAAGAGAUGGUUUUUGAAUGGUUUCGGAAUUCAUUGAAGUCCUGGAAAUUAAUUUAACAAAAACAAUACUGGAAGAAUUUAAUUAUUGGAUAAUCCUCAUCAUUAUUAUUGACAAAUUAUACAAUGGAAAAUGACAACAUUGUAUAAUUUACUUCUACAAACAAUCGGCCAGGGUCCGAUGUGUUUACCCAUAAACAAAUGGGGAGCCCUUAAGGAAGUUGAAUACAUCAUUUUUUCUCAACGCCGAGGUUUCUACUCUCUAGUUGAGGGGGGUAUCAACAUACACACAAAUCCGAAAUAUUGGACACAAAAUUGAAUGGUACUGCACUGUAAUAACCUGCAAGCACUAAACAACACAACAUCUCAAUCCAAAUAUCAACAAAUUACUUAUUUCAACAAGUGGUGUACACUGGAAUCAAUCGGUUCUUCACUUCUUCACAUCUUCAUCUCUUCAAUCUACGAUACACUAUACACUACACACACUCACAUUACACUUCUGCUCUUUUACCUUUUUCCUUUCUUUUUCCGUGCCCCGUUCAUGAUCAUUGACGGGGCCGGGUAUUGUUAUGCUUGCUACGGCUUCGGCCCUGCUUAAGCAGAGCUUACCUGUCCUUUUUCACACCUACACAUUUUUAACACAACUACACCAACACAUUUUUCACAUCAUCAUAAAUAACAUAAAUUAAAACCAUACAACAUUGGGGCAGCACUGAUAAGAACCGAAUAUAAUGAAGAAUGAUACUCAAAUAUUGAAUUAGACUUCAUUUUCUGGGGAAAACAUGUGCAAGCAGUCAACUUCAAAUUGCAUCAUUUAUAAUAAGACACGAAGAAACCAAACAGAUGGAGAAUUUUCCCAAAAAUGUAUGAAGAUUAAGAAAAUGAAAAAUAUUGCCCCCCGAAUUAUUCCAAAAUUACGAGAAGUCGAAGAUAUAAUGGAUCCUGAACCAAAGAAUCAACUUACUGAUUGAUAAAAAUCACAGUUUGCUGCAGAAUACAUCAUCUCACAUCAAAUAUUGACCAGUAAAAGUAACCAGAAUAAAGGGUGGUCAAUCAACUUAAUCUAUACUUAUCAACAAAAAUAACCACUAAUCACGAAACAAUAAAUAAUCUCAAUUUAAUAUUUUUAAAGGAGGUCACAACAGCAAUGAUUUAGAAUGCUUCUCGACUGUAAUAACCUGCAAGCACUAAACAACGCAACAUCUCAAUUCAAAUAUCAACUAAUAACUUAUUUUAACAAGUGGUGUAAACUGGGAUCACUGAAUAUUUUGUGAUUAAUAAUAAUCACAGUUUACUGCAGAAUACAUCAUCUCACAACAAAUAUGUACCAGUAAAAGUAACCAAAAUAAAUGGUGGUCAAUCAACUUAACCUAUACUUAUCAACAAAAAUAACUGACUCAAUCAUGGAACAAUAAAUCAUUCCAAUCUAAUAUUUAAAGGAAGAC